rnacentral:rRNA from 1 species
GACGAACGCUGGUGGCGUGCUUAACACAUGCAAGUCGAACGAAGUGGCGAACGGGUGAGUAACGCGUAAUCAACCUGCCCUUCAGAGGGGGACAACAGUUGGAAACGACUGCUAAUACCGCAUACUGAAGGAGGGGAUUGCGUCUGCUUCGGUAGUUGGAGGGGUAACGGCCCACCAAGGCGCUGAUCAGUAGGCGGUCGGAGAGGAGGAACGGCCAAAUUGGGACUGAGACACGGCCCAGACUCCUACGGGAGGCAGCAGUGGGGAAACUUCCGCAAUGGACGAAAGUCUGACGGAGCAACGCCGGGUUAGUGAUGACGGGCUUCGGGUUGGAAAGCUCUGUUAGUCGGGACGCGGUACCGGAAUAGAAAGCCACGGCUAACUACGUGCCAGCAGCCGCGGUAAUUC